rnacentral:rRNA from 1 species
CGCUAGCGGCGUGCCUAACACAUGCAAGUCGAACGUGAGAGGGUACUUGUGUCCUUGAAAGUGGCGGACGGGUGAGUAAGACGUAGGUGACCUGCCUUGAAGUGGGGGAUAACCAUUGGAAACGAUGGCUAAUACCGCAUAAGCUGGUGACGAUGGGAAUCGUUAUCAGGAAAGCUUUAGUGCUUUGAGAGGGGCCUACGGCCGAUUAGCUAGUUGGUGAGGUAAAGGCUCACCAAGGCGAUGAUCGGUAGCUGGUCUGAGAGGACGAUCAGCCACACGGGAACUGAGACACGGUCCCGACUCCUACGGGGGGCAGCAGUGAGGAAUAUUCGGCAAUGGGGGCAACCCUGACCGAGCAACGCCGCGUGGAGGAUGACGGUUUUCGGAUUGUAAACUCCUUUUCUCAGGGAAGAGCGAGGACGGUACCUGGGGAAUAAGUCACGGCUAACUACGUG